rnacentral:pre_miRNA from 1 species
GACAAGGGGAAUGUUGUCUGGCACGAGGCCCUUAACUUAGAUCUAUAUUUGAUUAUAUAUAUGUCGUCUCUUCUUUAUUUAUUAGCAUAUAUAUACAUGAAUGAUCGAAUUUAACGGUUAAUGACGUCGGACCAGGCUUCAUUCCCCUC